UCCGGGUUGGACCCGGCGGUCCCGCCAGACAUCGUAACUGGCAGCGAGGGUUGCGCUCGUUGCGGGACUUAACCCAACAUCUCACGACACGAGCUGACGACAGCCAUGCAGCACCUGUGCACGGACCCCGAAGGGGGCCUCUGGUUUCUCAGAGGUUUCCCGUGCAUGUCAAGCCCGGGUAAGGUUCUUCGCGUUGCGUCGAAUUAAACCACAUGCCCCACCGCUUGUGCGGGCCCCCGUCAAUUCCUUUGUGUUUUAGCCUUGCGGCCGUACUCCCCAGGCGGGGUGCUUAAUGCGUUAGCUUCGGCACGGACGGAGUCGACACCGCCCACACCUAGCACCCAUCGUUUACGGCGUGGACUAC
rnacentral:misc_RNA from 1 species